AUUGAACGCUGGCGGCAUGCCUUACACAUGCAAGUCGAACGGCAGCACGGGUGCUUGCACCUGGUGGCGAGUGGCGAACGGGUGAGUAAUACAUCGGAUCAUGUCCUGUAGUGGGGGAUAGCGCGGCGAAAGCCGGAUUAAUACCGCAUACGAUCCACGGACGAAAGCGGGGGACGUUCCGGCCUCGCGCUUUAGGGUUGGCCGAUGGCUGAUUAGCUAGUUGGUGGGGUAAAGGCCUACCAAGGCGACGCUCAAUAGCUGGUAUGAGAGGACGACCAGCCAGGCCUGGACGGAGACACGGCCCAGACUCCUACGGGAGGCAGCAGUGGGGAAUUUUGGAGAAUGGAGGAAAGCCUGAUCCAGCAAUGCCGCGUGUGUGAAGAAGGCAUUCGGGUUGUAAAGCACAGGUGUCCGGAAAGAAAUCCUUGACUCUAAUGCAGUCAGGGGAUGACGGUACCGGAAGAAUAAGCACCGGCUAACUACGUG
rnacentral:rRNA from 1 species